UAUGUAGGUCCCGAGCGUUGUCCGGAUUUAUUGGGCGUAAAGCGGGCGCAGGUGGUUUAUUAAGUCUGGUGUAAAAGGCAGUGGCUCAACCAUUGUAUGCAUUGGAAACUGGUAGACUUGAGUGCAGGAGAGGAGAGUGGAAUUCCAUGUGUAGCGGUGAAAUGCGUAGAUAUAUGGAGGAACACCGGUGGCGAAAGCGGCUCUCUGGCCUGUAACUGACACUGAGGCUCGAAAGCGUGGGGAGCAAACAGG
rnacentral:rRNA from 1 species